rnacentral:rRNA from 1 species
CAGUAGCCACGGUAAUACGUAGGUGGCAAGCGUUGUCCGGAAUUAUUGGGCGUAAAGGGCUCGCAGGCGGUUUCUUAAGUCUGAUGUGAAAGCCCCCGGCUCAACCGGGGAGGGUCAUUGGAAACUGGGAAACUUGAGUGCAGAAGAGGAGAGUGGAAUUCCACGUGUAGCGGUGAAAUGCGUAGAGAUGUGGAGGAACACCAGUGGCGAAGGCGACUCUCUUGUCUGUAGCUGACGCUGAGGAGCGAAAGCGUGGGGAGCGAAUAGGAUUAGAUACCCCUGUAGUCCCUGUCUCUUAUAC